CCCCGAUGACAACUGGCCGGCGCCAGUUCGUUGCGCUUCAUGUCCCGUUCGUGUGCUCCGGUAUCGCUGAUCGACAACCCGUGUGUACCGACCUUCGCCUGUUCUCCGACCAACCUUUUCUUCCCACUGAGUGUGAAGUUGUUCCAGCUGCUGCUCCAGCAGAGCAGAAUCAGCCACCGCUACAUACUGGGACAGGUCGGUCUUCAUGGAGGCCAGAUCCUUCAGUUUACUGGCUAGAUGGCGCAGAGAGAGGAGCUAGUGCGAUGGAAUGAAGACGGUCAGUGAUACCCAGCUGUGGAUGUGGAUCAGCGAUAGAUUUGAGCUGUACUUUGAUCCCUCUUGGCAGGAGCUUUGUGCAAAGGCUCACGCCAUGCCUGAAUGUGAGAGUUUGUGCACGUAUGUGUGCAUAUGUAUGCAUGUAUGUGUGCGUGUGUGUUUGCUUGUGUGUGUUUCUGGUGGGAUCAGGGCCUGGAUAUGGGUCACGCAAAGCUGACCCCACCCCCUCCUAUUACAUUGACACUAACCCACACUCUUUCCAGAAUGUGGAUUCCUACAGUCCA